GUGCUUAACACAUGCAAGUCGAGUGCGCGGUGCGGGUAGCAAUACUCGUACUGGCGCACGGCGCACGGGUGCGUAACACGUGGGCAAUCUGCCCUCCGAUGGGGAAUAACUCCGGGAAACCGAAGCUAAUUCCGCAUAACAUUCCCUGGACUCCGGUUCGGGGAUUCAAAGCAGCAAUGCGUCGGAGGAGGAGCCCGCGCCCGAUUAGCUAGUUGGCAGGGUAAUGGCCUACCAAGGCUAUGAUCGGUAGCUGGUCUGAGAGGAUGGCCAGCCACACUGGAACUGAGACACGGUCCAG
rnacentral:rRNA from 1 species